CCUACGGGAGGCAGCAGUGGGGAAUAUUGCACAAUGGGGGAAACCCUGAUGCAGCGACGCCGCGUGAGUGAAGAAGUAUUUCGGUACGUAAAGCUCUAUCAGCAGGGAAGAAAAUGACGGUACCUGACUAAGAAGCCCCGGCUAACUACGUGCAGGCAGCCGCGGUAAUACGUAGGGGGCAAGCGUAAUCCGGAUUUACUGGGUGUAAAGGGAGCGUAGACGGCAGCGCAAGUCUGGAGUGAAAUCCCAUGGCUUAACCAUGGAACUGCUUUGGAAACUGUGCAGCUAGAGUGCAGGAGAGGUAAGCGGAAUUCCUAGUGUAGCGGUGAAAUGCGUAGAUAUUAGGAGGAACACCAGUGGCGAAGGCGGCUUACUGGACUGUAACUGACGUUGAGGCUCGAAAGCGUGGGGAGCAAACAGGAUUAGAUACCCGGGUAGUC
rnacentral:rRNA from 1 species